rnacentral:rRNA from 1 species
CCUACGGGCGACAGCAGUGGGGAAUCUUCCGCAAUGGGCGAAAGCCUGACGGAGCAACGCCGCGUGAUCGAAUGAAGGCCUUCGGGUUGUAAAGAUCUGUUGACAGGGACGAAUAAGCAAUGCGAAUAGUUUUGUGUAUGACGGUAACUGUUUAGAAAGCUCCGGCCAACUACGUGCCAGCAGCCGCGGUAAUACGUUGGGAGCAAGCGUUUGUCGGAAUUACUGGGGGUAAAGGGCGCGUAGGUGGGCGCUUAAGUCAGGUGUGAAAACUCAGGGCUCAACCUGGAGAGUGCACUUGAAACUGGGUGUCUUGAGGGCAGGAGAGGAGAGUGGAAUUCCUAGUGUAGCGGUGAAAUGCGUAGAUAUUAGGAGGAACACCAGUGGCGAAGGCGACUUUCUGGACUGUACCUGACGCUGAGGCGCGAAAGCGUGGGUAGCGAACGGGAUUAGAUACCCUUGUAGUC